rnacentral:miRNA from 1 species
CUUCCGUGUGUGUGUGUGUGUGUGUGUGUGUGUGUGUGUGUGUGUGUGUGUGUGCACGCACGCGCACACACACGCACGCCCUCA